rnacentral:rRNA from 1 species
ACGAAGGGGGCUAGCGUUGCUCGGAAUGACUGGGCGUAAAGGGCGCGUAGGCGGCACAACUAGUCAGACGUGAAAUUCCUGGGCUUAACCUGGGGGCUGCGUUUGAUACGGUUGAGCUAGAGGAUGGAAGAGGCUCGUGGAAUUCCCAGUGUAGAAGUGAAAUUCGUAGAUAUUGGGAAGAACACCGGUGGCGAAGGCGGCGAGCUGGUCCAUUACUGACGCUGAGGCGCGAAAGCGUGGGGAGCAAACAG